CAGCCUCCAGGCUCCAUGGCAGGGGCCAGCAGCCCCCAAGAGCACCCCGGACGGACACAUGGAUGCACGGACAGACGAGGGGUGAAACAAGGCUCUCUGAUGAGACUGGAGACAAGCUCUGAGGGAACUGACCCUGCUGUGUGUGAGGAAGUUCUUCACAGUGAUGACCCUGGACACUCCCUCAGAAAAGCACAGGGACCUCACCCCAGGCCCCCUCCCCAUCCCAGAUUCUCAGGCAAAAGCACCUGGAGCCCCAGCCCCUGCACCUCGAUCCAUGCUCUCUGUAGCAGCACCGGUCGCAGACCAGAAUGGACCUGAGCCGCGGCACCAGUCCUUGGGAGCGGGCCCCACGCAGUCCUGAAACAGACCAUCGCAGAGAUGGGCUCCCUGCCUCCCAACCUAUUGGAAAAGACGCCCGUAAGCCCCGCCGUGGCUGACUGGGACGUCAGUGUCAUUUCUUUCAGCUCUUCUUCAGACAAACUUCUGGCUGUUGGGAGACCAGCAGGGUUAAGAUCAUCAUAACCCGAGAAGGCAAGUGCUAUUGGUUUUCUAUUUUAUGGAUGGGAAAACCAAAACAAGGCUGCAAACCAGAUGACCCAUGGGAGCAACCGCGGCCUCCAGAAAGACCAUCACUCCUAGAUUAAUGUACCCAGGAUCGUGUCCUGGCAACCACACGUCUACACUGCAACCUCACCUGACUAUGGACUACAAGAAAGGUCUGGAAUCUGCAUUGGGAGGACUUGAAGCCUGGGCUCAACUGAGACUGCCACCUGUAGAGCGACAUGUGACUUUCCAUGCGGCUUGGGCUUCUCAUGGAGUGGCAGCUGGCUCCCAAGAGUGCUCCAGAAGAACCAGGUAGAAGCUGAAGCUGUGGGGGUCUUCUGUGACCAAGCCUCAGAAGUCCCAGACCCUCUAUUUCCCUAUUCUCUACAGAUCAAAGCAGUCACAUACUGUCCCAAUACAAGAGGAGGAGCAGAGGUCCCACUCUUGAUGGAAAGAAUGUUCCAGAUUUUUAGACAACCACAGCAACACUGGGCGCCUACAUGGAGGUGCAGAAUCACCUGGAGUUGAGCACCUCCCACCACGUUAGGGUGUGUGCUCUAGCUACAGGCUCCAUGGCAACAAGUAAUUGACGAGAAGCAGUAUCAGAGGCCUCCGACGUCCCUGCAGAGAGGCUAGGGAUGGCCAUAGGAUAAGAAUCCUUUGACAGAACAGAGAUUCAAGGUAGAUACUGCGUUUCCUAAAAUGGGCAUAAGACCACACAACUCAUGCAUGAGGUCAGACCAGCAGCAUGUGACAUGAUGCUGUCGCACAGGUUGAGCUGAGCACCUUCAGUCCCUCCUCCUGAGACUGGGUGAGAGUUUGUCAAAUGCUCAUGCUGAAAUGAAGGAACACCGUAUCUUGGGCCCGCUUGGGCACAGCAGUAAUGUACUGCUCAAGAGAAGCUGGAACCCACAUGGUGUCUGUGGUUAGACUCCCUGGCCUGGUCCAGCUGAAACACUCCAGGCAUAUGUGCAAGUGCACAAGAUGCAACAGGCUGGAGGACUGGGAAAAGGCGAUCACAGUGUGGCCAGAUCCUGUGGAGGCUGUUUCUCUCUCUCUCUCUCAUGUGUGCAUGCAUGUGUUCUAUCAUAUAAAUACAAUAUAAAUGACAUACUCCUGACAUGAAAAUGCAAACAUUGCCUUUAAAUAUGCAUAAGUCAUCUUUAAUCAUCUCAACUGAAAUUUUUCUAGUGUUCAGUGUGGAUCUCACCAGACUGGGAAAGGGGUAGGAAAUACACAAACCAAGAGAGGAAAUAAGAGAAGGCAAGUGGAGAGGUCUUUAGAAUUAUUCUUGGGCCCCUCUCAAGAUGCGAGAGGGAGAUGGGAUCCCAGAGCCAAGUGGUUUCAAGAGAUCCCAGCCUGCCAGCCACCUGACUUUUAGCACUUCCUCAAAGUCUCUCUUCAAGGCAGACCCUAUUUUUUUCAGAAAGCUGAACAUUUGCACUGACCUGGGGAUGCGAGGGCCAUUUUACCUCACACACUGAGAUAACUGGGACUUGAGGGUUCACAGAGGCACAGCAGAGGAGAGGGAGCUCAGAGAUGGAGAAAGAUGGGGUAGGGGUGCAGGUUUUUUUUGUGGAAGCUGUGUGCAGUAACCCAGGGCACUCCCACCUGCCAUGGGUCCUCAACUUGCAGGUCUCCGGCUCACACAAUCCUCUAAGUUCAGAGAGGGGUGGUGCCUGCUCCCGGGUCAUGGAGUCCAACCCUCACAUGUGACAGAUGAGUAGACUAUGGCAGAACCCUGAAGUCCAUUUGUACCCACUGGAGAUCCACGUGCUCCUCAGUUUUGCAGUUAGGAAGGGAUCACGUGCUUAAUUCUGACCCUUGGAUUAUAAGUGACAUGUGUCAUUUCCAGGCCCAGUGGAAGAGAGGAUGUACCUCCUCCAUUCCUCCUGUUCCCUGCCACUGGGACCUGACAGCCCACACACUGUGGAUGACAUGGCUACAAGAUGGAAGAGGUUCUGCCCAAAUUCAUCUGAGCAAGAACAAAAUCUUGAUUAUGUUAGGCCACUGAAAACUGGGAGCUUGUUUGUCACUGUAGCACUGCCUGGCCUAGCCUUACUAACAGAGACUCAAGGCCUAGAGAGAGGAAGUAGGGAUAUGGGUAGCCCUGAAGGAUGCAUAUCAGAUCCCUGCUCCAUCUCAAAAGCAGAUCAAAGCAGGUAAGACGGUAGGGUUUUUCUGCUCUAGGGAGACAUCAGGCAGCAGGUCGUCUUACCAUUAUGCUAUAUCAUUCACAAAGCCUGUCCAUAGACCCUAGCUUGCUUUAUUCUCCCAGCUACCUUGGGAGGCCCAUCUUUAGCCCCAUCUGAUUAGGACUUUAAGAGGCAGCUCCAGGACCAGCAGUUAGCAUAAUGGCUAUGUCACUGAACUCCCAUGUAGUCGACCCUUGUUCAA